rnacentral:ncRNA from 1 species
GCAGAGUAGAUAUACUGCGUGAGCGUUUUUGCUUAUAGUGCCAUAGAACGGGAUGUUGACUAUGGACGAAAGGGGGUUUCCCCUACGAUAGUAUAUCACAUCCG